GAUGAACGCUGGCGGCGUGCCUAAUACAUGCAAGUCGAGCGAACAGACGAGGAGCUUGCUCCUUCGACGUUAGCGGCGGACGGGUGAGUAACACGUAUGUAACCUACCUAUAAGACUGGGAUAACUUCGGGAAACCGGAGCUAAUACCGGAUAAUAUUUCGAACCGCAUGGUUCGAUAGUGAAAGAUGGCUUUGCUAUCACUUAUAGAUGGACCUGCGCCGUAUUAGCUAGUUGGUAAGGUAACGGCUUACCAAGGCAACGAUACGUAGCCGACCUGAGAGGGUGAUCGGCCACACUGGAACUGAGACACGGUCCAGACUCCUAAGGGAGGCAGCAGUAGGGAAUCUUCCGCAAUGGGCGAAAGCCUGACGGAGCAACGCCGCGUGAGUGAUGAAGGUCUUCGGAUCGUAAAACUCUGUUAUUAGGGAAGAACAAACGUGUAAGUAACUGUGCACGUAUUGACGGUACCUAAUCAGAAAGCCACGGCUAACUACGUG
rnacentral:rRNA from 1 species